GGGGUUGUGGCUCAGUGGUAGAGCACUCACCUGGCACGUGAAAAGCCCCGGAUUCGAUCCUCAGCACCA
rnacentral:tRNA from 1 species